rnacentral:rRNA from 1 species
UACGUAGGCGGAAUAUUAAGUCAGUGGUGAAAUCCUGCGGCUCAACCGUAGAACUGCCAUUGAUACUGAUGUUCUUGAAUAUAGUUGAGGUAGGCGGAAUGUGUAAUGUAGCGGUGAAAUGCUUAGAUAUUACACAGAACACCGAUUGCGAAGGCAGCUUACUAAACUAUUAUUGACGCUGAGGUACGAAAGCGUGGGGAGCGAACAGGAUUAGAUACCCUGGUAGUCC